CGUGCUGCUGCUCGUCGAGCCGUGCUCUGCGUGCUGCUGCUCGCGCCCCGCGCCGCGUGCUGCUGCUUCUGGCCGCCUCGUGCCGCAUGCUGCUGCGUGUGGGUGGCCGCGGCUGCCUGCUGCGGCGUGCGGCUGCUGCCACCGUCGCUUUGCUGCCGCGCUGGGGCUCCUAGGCUCGGUCCCUUGCUCCGCCGCCGCCGGGGCCCGCCGCGCCACCCCCGGUGCUCUUCCCUACGCUGGCGUCGGAGAAGACAAUUGAAAAAAAAUGUUGAUCUAGUUUUUGCCAAAUGUUGAAUCUAUUUUUUUCAUAUGUUGAAAUAGUUCAUAAAAAAUGUUGAAGAUAGUUUGUAGAAAUGUUGAAUUUAAUUUGAGCCUAGUGGGUUUUAUAGAUAAAUAGCUUGCGGAAGAUAUAUAGGAGCCCCCUGUCCGCCGGCUCCAUCACCGAGGCGAACGUAGAUCGGCGGCGGCGGCGCGAGGAGGAGAGGGAGGGGGGAGGCGGGCAAGAUGAGCGGGAACGGCGUGGUGAAGAAGGUGGCGGAUGCCGCGGCGAAGGCCGGCAAGGCGAUCGACUGGGACGGCCUGGGCAAGAUGCUCGUCUCCGAGGAGGCCCGCAAGGAGUUCGCCACCCUCCGCUGCACCUUCGAGGACGUCAACCACCAGCUCCAGACCAAGUUCUCGCAGGAACCCAAGCCAAUUGACUGGGAGUACUACAGAAAAGGAAUUGGAUCAAAAGUUGUCGAUAUGUACAAGGAGGCCUACGAAAGCAUAGAGAUCCCAAGUAUGUUGACACUGUCACUCCUCAGUACAAGCCAAAGUUUGAUGCUCUGUUGGUAGAGAUGAAGGAAGCGGAAAAGGUAUCACUGAAGGAAUCAGAGAGGAUAGAGAAGGAGAUUGCUGAAAUGAAGGAGAUGAAGAAAAAGAUCAGCACGAUGACCGCAGACGAGUACUUUGCCAAGCACCCUGAACUCAAACAGAAAUUUGAUGAUGAGAUCCGCAAUGAUUACUGGGGAUACUAAGACGCAGCAGCUAGUGGAUGGGAGGCGCCAAAGUUUCAACUAACUCGGCUAUUCUUGUACCAUGGUCAGACCUCAUCAUUUUAAGGUUCAACAGCUUCUAUCAUAAGAAAAAUUAGUUUUUGCUUCUGGGUUCGUAAAACUGACAUGAAAAUUUCUUCUGGUCUUGAUUUGUGCCAUAUAAUUUUGGUGGUCGGUAUACUCAUCCUACUUGUCCAAGCUCCUGAGACUGGAUCUGAUACAGAAUUUUGCUUUAUAUUACUUAGCAUGUCACUGCAAACUGCAAGAACAUGAUUACCCUUCAUAAGCAAUGUACUGCCGUGAGCAAUCCUGUGCUUGAUGAAAUUGCACCCAGAGAUUCUUGAGAUUCUUGACAUCUCGGUCCUGGGGUUGGCAAAUUUCAUAGUAGUUUGUCGGUACGGUCAAUUGGAAUUAUUUUGGUGGCAAAACCAAAGUAGUUUGUCUCGGUGCCACAAUGGGAAUGUGAACAAAGAAGGAAAAGAAAAGAAUAAAAGAGAGCAAAAAAAAAACACUGCAAUUGAGUAUAUCAGUGACACUUGAGAUCAGACCAAUGUUAUACAGUCGUCUAGUCGAACCUAGUCGCCAUGACACCGAUAAGGCGACUAGUCGCGACUAGUCGUCGAUCAGGUCGAUUAGUCGACCCUAGUCGGUCCUAGUCGUCGCUAUAGUCGUCCUAUAUAUCCCACGACAUAUAUGUACAUGUAUAUGUACUUAUAUACUAUAUAGCAAGCAGGAACACCACAAUGAUAGUCAGUUUGGUGACACUUGUGAGAUUU